rnacentral:rRNA from 1 species
ACUUUCCACUCUCACACCCGUUCUUCUCUUACAACAGAGCUUUACGAUCCGAAAACCUUCUUCACUCACGCGGCGUUGCUCGGUCAGGGUUCCCCCCAUUGCCGAAGAUUCCCUACUGCUGCCUCCCGUAGGAGUCUGGGCCGUGUCUCAGUCCCAGUGUGGCCGAUCACCCUCUCAGGUCGGCUAUGUAUCGUCGCCUUGGUGAGCCGUUACCUCACCAACUAGCUAAUACAACGCAGGUCCAUCUGGUAGUGAUGCAAUUGCAUCUUUCAAUUAAUUAUCAUGCGAUAAUUAAUAUCAUGCGGUAUUAGCUAUCGUUUCCAAUAGUUAUCCCCCGCUACCAGGCAGGUUACCUACGCGUUACUCACCCGUUCGCAACUCAUCCAAGAAGAGCAAGCUCCUCUCUUCAGCGUUCUACUUGCAUGUAUUAGGCACGCCGCCAGCGUU